CCUACGGGAGGCAGCAGUGGGGAAUUUUGGACAAUGGGGGAAACCCUGAUCCAGCCAUUCCGCGUGAGUGAAGAAGGCCUUCGGGUUGUAAAGCUCUUUCGGCAGGAACGAAACGGCGGACUCUAACAUAGUCUGUCAAUGACGGUACCUGAAGAAGAAGCACCGACUAACUACGUGCCAGCAGCCGCGGUAAUACGUAGGGUGCGAGCGUUAAUCGGAAUUACUGGGCGUAAAGCGUGCGCAGGCGGCUUUGUAAGGCGGAUGUAAAAUCCCUGGGCUUAACCUGGGAACUGCGUUCGUGACGGCAAAGCGGGAGUGCGGCAGAGGGGGGUGAAAUUCCUGGUGUAGCGGUAAAAUGCGUAGAGAUCAGGAGGAACACCGAUGGCGAAGGCGGCCCCCGGGGUUGACACUGACGCU
rnacentral:rRNA from 1 species